CCUCCUUUUAACGUCUGGCAUUUAAUGCAUCUUUUAACGUAUUGCUUGACAUCCAUCCACAUGCCAGGCCAGAAUGCGACAUCAUAGAUACGCUUAUAGGUCUUAUAAAUACCCACAUGGCCGCUCCAGGGAUUUGAGUGAUAGUGAUGUAGAAUGGAUGAUACAAGGCUAUCAGGAAUGUACACUCUGUAAUGAACUUCGUUGUUUGACCGGAUCUUUGUGCUGCUCAUCCCAGAUGUCAGCAGGAGACAUCGGAAGUUCUGGCUUCUCCUGUUGGCUGGUGUAAAGGCUACAACUGGUGUGCAUUCGAGACAGAGCAUCAGGUGCCAUAUUCAAUUUCCCUUUUCGAUAUUCAACAACAAAAUCAUAUUUCUGAAGUCGCAAGGCCCAUCUAAUGAGACGACUUGUAGUCUUUGUUGAAGACAUUACCCACUGUAGUGCUGAGUGGUCUGUGAUUACUGUGAACAGUUUGUACUCCAAGUAGUGCUGCCAUUUCUCGAGAGCCCAGAUUACAGCCAAGCAUUCCUUCUCUGUAGUAGAAUAAUUGAUUUCUGCUUUGGUCAAGGUUCUGCUGGCAUACGCAAUUACCUGUUCCAUUCCCUGUUCCUUUUUCUGAGUCAACACAGCACCUAAACCUGUGUCGCUGGCAUCUGUGUAGACUGUGAAAGGAAACUGUAAGUCAGGAUGGCUGAGGAUGGGAGGAGAGGUAAGACAAGAUUUCAGAUGUUCAAAAACCUUUUGACAUUGUACAGACCAGUGAAAUGUACAUCCCUUUUUUUUCAGUGCAUUCAGAGGUUCAGCAAUUCUAGAGAAGUUUGGUACAAACCGGUGGUACCACCCAGCUAAUCCCAAAAAACGCUGGACUUCUUUGAUGUUGGUAGGCACGGGAUAAGACUGUAUGGCUUCUACUUUGCUUGGGUCUGCAGACACUCCUUUGGUGUUGACAACAUGUCCUAGAAAUGUUAUUUCUGGUAGACAGAACUUACUUUUUUUCAGGUUAAUUGUUAGGCCAGCUAAUUCCAGCUUGUGAAGAACAGCCUGAAUGUCCAAGAAAUGCUGGGCUACAGAUGGAGAGUAAAUAAUUAUGUCAUCAAUGUAGACAAAACAAAUGCUUCCACGCAAUUCUCCGAGUACACACUCCAUUAAUCUCUGAAAAGUGGCAGGGGCAUUUUUUAACCCAAAGGGCAUUACAUUAAACUGGAACAGACCUGAGUGGGUAAUGAAAGCAGUCUUUUGUUUACUUUCCUGAUCCAUGCUUACCUGCCAAUAUCCACUGUUAAGAUCAAUGGUGGAAAAAAUGGACGCUCCAGCAAGAGAUUCCAAGAUUUCAGUAAUGUUGGGCAGAGGAUAUGCAUCAUUCUCUGUACUGGCAUUAACCUUUCGGUAAUCCACACAAAACCUGAGGCUUCCGUCUUUUUUGGGAACCAAGACGACAGGAGAGGCCCAUCCAGAAUGUGACGGUUCCACAAUACCUGCAGCCAACAUCUCCUCCAACUGUUCUUUUAUGACAGCCUGCUUGGCAGGGUUUGUGCGAUAUGGUCGCUGCUUGAUAGGCACUUGGUGGGUGGUAUAGAUGUGAUGCUCAAGGACUUUAGUCCGUCCCAGACGAAGUGUGCAGAUUUGCGGGUUGGACUCCAGAAUCUGACGUAGCUGUUGCUUGUCUUCAGGAGGUAAGUCGGCAGCACUUACAACAGUAUUAAUUAGGGUUUUCUCAUCAGGAUUAGCUGGCGAUAAACAUAGGACAUUUUGCGGAGGGGGAACAGAACUCAGUAAAAAUAGACUGGAACUUUUACUUUCUUUCUUUUCCUUUUGAGGUUGGGAAUAGAUAGCUGGUGCACUGGCAUUUCCAGGCUGGAAGGGAAAAUCCUCCUUUGGAUUGCUCUUAAAGGAGUAUUUUUGGUCUGCCACAUAGAUUUGGAGUCCACUGGAGAAAAUGAAGUCCAAACCUAGUACCACAGCAUAGGCUAGAGCUUUAGCAGGAAGAACAGCAGCAGGUAUGUUGAAAACUUUGUGAUGAAGAGUGACUGGUAUAUUUACCCAUCCUAAUGGAAUUUCUGCUUCUCCAUUCGCCAAGUAAAGAGGACCUCGGGUCCAUGGAAGAAGUCUUUGUACACCGAGCUCUUUACAAAGAUUCUCAUGAAGAAGAGUGUAACUUGCACCCGUAUCAACAAUGGCUUUCCCCUUCCAGGUAGCAAUACUCAGGGGUACAACUAAUUGUUGCGGCACAGCUGCAGGAGGUGGUGUAUUCUUACAUGUUUUUGGGGUCUUUUUGGUAAACGUGGCAGAAACAGAGUGAUUGAUAAGCGGACCGCCAGCUUUGGGAGCUGGAAAUGUUGUCUGCUUACUGCUAGCGGAGUGGGAUCGAUUGGUUUGAAGUGACUGAGCAGAGACAAAGUGAGGACAGUGUCCAGGUGAGUGAUGUCCUUUACAUCGCCAACACUGUACUAAAGGUGGUUUCUCUUUCUCUCCUAGCCGAUUGGAAAUGGGUUUUUGGGGCAUAGACAUGUGUUGCUUGAGACCCAUUCGUCCUUCAUACUGCUGUUGCUGUUCGAAGUCUCUUUCAAGCUGUUGGCCUAAUCUCACCAGUUCGUCAACAUUACUUACUCUACUGCGUAGCUGGCUAGUGAGUUCGUCCUCAUAGUCCUCUGAAAGGAAAGCAGAAAGAAAAGCAGUUUGAAAUUCAUCCCAUGUACUUACAGAUGACCGUGCUACUUCCCACCAGUCCCGGGCGGUGCCAUAAAGGACAGAGCGGAAAGUGGCCAAGAUGUCAGCAUCGGUAAGAGGAUGCAGCGCUAGGAAGUCUUGGCACCGGGUGAGAUACAGCAAUGGGUCAGCAUCAUCCGACUGUCUACCAAACAUAGGAAAUGUGAGCUUAAGAUGGUCACUCUUUACCAUGGGAGGCGGUGCUGCAUGCACUGCAGGUAGAUCAAUGUCAGAGGACGAUGGUGAUGAUUGUUCUUUCAUUUGUAAACCAGCCAUUUGUGUGUCUAGAUUGUUGAAUUUUCGUUCCAUUUCAGUUUGUAGAUCUUGUAUACCUGUACAUAGGGUUUUGGUGCUUUGAGUGCACUGGGUGAGCUCUGUAGACAUUUGGUCAUGAUUCCUCUGAAGAGUUACUAAGUAGGUUUUGAUAUCCUGUUGGAGCUCCCCUUGAAGUUGUUCCAUCAUAAACCUCACCUCAGACACAAAAGUAGUUUGGGCUUUAUGAAGUUCAUUAGAAAUGUCAAUUUUCACGGCUUUUACAAGUUGAUCAAUUUCUCCCUUAAUAUCUUCUUUAUUUCUAGACAUGCACAUGAACACUUGUUGCUGGUGGUGCUCCAAUUUAUUAGCAAGUUGAGCAAUCAAGGUGUCCUGGUGUGCAGACGUUGUUUUAAGUUCUUGGGAGUAGGGAGGUAACCAGGGAGGUCAUGCUGUGCUGAGGAAGGAGGUGAAGCUUCAUUGGAUGCACUUGUGCACAACUGCAUAGGAGCAGAUUCAACUGAGGCAGUGCCACCUGGAGGUAGGGAGGAAAAUUGCACCUGAGACCUGGGAUGGGGACUGCUGAACUGAGUUGGCAUAAAAUGAAAAGUUGGAACAUGAGAUGAAGGAACGGAUCUUAGGUGCGCAGGAGGCCAUACUGGAGUUGCUAUAUCUGGGGGGGAUUCAAUCUCCACUGACGUCGAAGGGGAAGGUGGGGUAGUGGCCAUACUUGUAAUGCGUGUUGGUUUAAUAUGUAAAGUGUGGUGCAAUGUCACUCAAAUGUAUAAAUAAAAAAUAAAGUUACAUACAAUGAAUUACCCCCACUUGGUUUGUUUCAUUAUAACAAUCUCACCCCACAAGAUUUCAAAAUUAACACCAGGAGGUAUCAAUUUAACAAACCUCUUUAGUUUUCAAAAAAAAACUUUUCACAGUUCUCAGGUUUCACAAAAUUACUUGAAUGUUUCUUCUCAAAAACACCUUUAUAUACAUAUGUACAUAAACCACAGAACUUUAAAGUGUUAACAAUGCUGAAGCAGUAGAACUCUGCAGUUCACAAUUUCACACUUCUAGGGUUCAA